rnacentral:rRNA from 1 species
CCCCCCUUCUACAAAAACAUGGUCUUUUGUUCAUAUAAAAGAUCUAGCCUGCCCUUUGAUUUAUUUUAAAUGGCUGCCGUAUUUUGACUGUACAAAGGUAGCAUUAUCAUUUGUUUUUUAAUUGAAGGGUGGUUUGAAUGGCUGGAUGAGAAAUUGGCUUUUUUUAUUUUAUAUGAAAAAAUUAAUUUUUUAGUUAACAAGCAAAAAUGAUUUUAUAGGACGAGAAGACCCUAUAGAACUUUACUUUCUUUUUAUAUAAUUUUUAUAGAUUUAUAAAAGAUUAUAUAUGUAUGUUAAGUUUGUUGGGGUGAUUGAAAAAAUUAUAUAACUCUUUUUAUUUUAUACAUUUAUAUAUGUUAUUUUGAUCCUUUAUUAUGGGUAAUAAGAUUAAGUUACCUUAGGGAUAACAGCGUUAUUUUUUUGGAGAGUUCUUAUCGAUAAAAAAGUUUGCGACCUCGAUGUUGGAUUAAAAUACGUGUCAGGAGCAGAGUAUUGUUUACUAGGUCUGUCCGACCUUUAAAUUUUUACUGCCUCUCCCGGGC